AAGCAGCGAGCUCUCAGCUGCUCGCAGUCCGGUCAGUCCUGCGCUGGCGACGCUGAACUGUCGGCUGCAACUGCGAGAAACUUCUGGUGAUUUUGCUCUCGCAUUCCCUUUGUUGAAGAUGAGCUAACUUUAAAACAGCCUCUGCUGGCCAGGGAUCAGCUGAAGUGUUGGACACACCCUCCUAGUUCCAUCACCGCCACCAGCAGCACUCGAGGGCUCAACUGCAGAUGGGAGGUCACCAACAGGUCGUUUGUUUCGCCCAAAUGCACCUGUGUUGGCUCCACGUCUAAGAUGGCUGCCCUUGGCCUUCUCCUGCAUCCAAACAGACUGGAAAAGAGCUGCGUGCUACCAUGGUGAUCAUUUACUUGAAAACACUGGAAAAGAAGAAGGGUGUCAAUGAUGUAAAGUCCAAGAGCACCGAGAGACGGCUGCGUGAGCUCCACACCAUGAGCAGAGGGACCACCCUCGUCUCCUGUGGAACUGUGGGUGGCAAGGCACAC